UACUAAAAACCCUAAAUCGGCAGGCGGGCAAUUUUGAUCGACGGGGACGCCAGAGGCUUCCAGAGAGGGAGGCUUCGUCUCCGCUUUUGACUGUUCGAUGGUAUACCUCCGCCAGAAAGAGGAUCCUUUGAAUUCCGUCAUCGCCGCGGCGGCCACGGGAGGCUUUCUCUCCAUGCGGAAAGACUCGGCGCCUCCGCUCGCUCAGCUGUAUUUCGUUUGGUGCUGCCAUUUUCUUCAUUGAAUGAGUGCUAGAUUAGCAAAGAGAAGUAUGAUAAUUUGCCCCAAGGAUUAGCGUCUGCUUUAGGAUAUUAAAAAUCGUGGUUUCUGUUACACCAACUUGUGCCUAAGUGUCUGAAAUUUAGCUCGUGGAAUGUUUUGCAGCGUUUUAAUCUAGCAAGAUGAUGGUAUGGAUCAAAAAUCAAGUUUUUGCAAAACUAAGCACCGGACUUCCACUAUUGGGUGCCUCUCUGACAAGUGCUCAAUUGGCUAAUUGCCAAGAGGAGGCAGAAAAGGACGGAAUUUCCUCUGAAUUAGGGCCCCAUGGCCUCAAAGCUGAUCUGGAGCUUAUGCUUUCCGCAGCAACAGAACCUUUCCUUCACUUCAGUUUAUCCUCUUCACGGGUUUAUUCUCAGUGUUCUUGUUAGUGGCGCUGACCAUCUCUUCAGUGAUUGUCUUGUCUGCUGCUCCACAAUGAAGAGGAUAGCUCCUCAAGAAUACCCUUCUGUUAUUGUAGUCUUCAUGGUGGACACUCCUCAUCUUCAACCCAUGUUCUACUAUUUCUUUGCAAUCCAUACUUUCAGAAGCACUAGUGAUUUCUGCACAAUGGUGGCUUUUAUGGGAUUGUGGAGGAGAAAGUUGGGAUAGUGUGGUUGGGGGAGAGGGAGAGAGAUAUCAGUAGAGGACAAGAUGAUCCUCGGAGACUCGGAGUAGAGACUAAAGAGUAAGAAUAAUUUGUUCUGUUGUUGAAAAUGAUGAAUAUGAAUUAUUGUAUUUGGCAUUUUAUAUGGUUCAUCUGAAUAGACUCUUCAAUUACAUUUUCAGCAUUGAUAGUUGUUUGUAAA